rnacentral:lncRNA from 1 species
CGAAACUCAAGUGUGCAGAGCUCUGCUUCGCUAGGACUUCUUCCACUCCAAAUGACCUGCCUUUAAUGAGUGGGGGAUGCCUCCUAUUUAUAGGGAUUCUUAUGGGGGUAAUCUGGUCAUUUGGACAGUAACCGCCUAACUGCCUAACUGAUCAGAUCGAGGCCCAAGGUCGACUUUCCAGAGAUCGACUUUCUGGGGAUC